rnacentral:rRNA from 1 species
CAGAGUUUGAUCAUGGUCAGGACGAACGCUGUCGGCGCGCCUAACACAUGCAAGUCGAACGAAGUUACUUUGAAUGAAUUCUUCGGAAGGAAUUUAAUUUAACUUAGUGGCGGACGGGUGAGUAACGCGUGAGUAACCUGCCUUUCAGAGGGGGAUAACGUCUGGAAACGGACGCUAAUACCGCAUGACAUAUUUGAGCCGCAUGACUUAGAUAUCAAAGGAGCAAUCCGCUGAAAGAUGGACUCGCGUCCAA